AUGCAUCCCAUUCACCUAAAAAAAAAAACGCUGCCCGCAACUGCAGUCCGUCGGAAAUCUCUGCCGCCGCCGCCACCGCCGUCUGCCGUCGCCGUCGCCUGCGCCAUGCUCCGCCUCAGGAAGUGCGUCGUUUCCUGUAUCCUCUCUUCUCCCUCCACCUCCGCCAUCUCCCCACUUCGCCGCCUGCUCUCCGCCGCCGCGUCGCCCCCCAUUUCCCCUAACCCUAGUAGCUUCGCCGUGGAAGACUACCUCGUCGGCACCUGCGGCCUCAGCCGACCCCAAGCCCUCAAGGCCUCCAAGAAGCUCUCCCACCUCAACUCCCCCGCAAACCCCGACGCCGUCCUCGCCUUCCUCGCCGGCCUCGGCCUCUCCGGCGCCGAUGCCGCCGCCGUCGUCGCCAAAGAUCCGCAGUUCCUCGGCGCCAAAGUGGACAAAACCCUGGCCCCCGUCGUCGCCGGGCUAACCGGCCUCGGCCUGUCUAGUCCUGAGAUCGCUCGCAUCGUCUCGCUCACCCCCGACGGCUUCCGCCGUAGAUCCAUACUCUCCAGGCUGCUCAAGCGCUCAUCCUGCCUGUUGUUUUCGGACCUCGACAAGGUUGUCAAGCCCAAUGUUGUGUUUCUGAGGGAGUGCGGGCUAGGUGAUUGUGAUAUUGCCAAGCUGUGUAUCCAUGGGCCGAGGAUGCUCACCACCAACCUGGAGCGCGUCCGAGCGAUGGUGACAUGCGCCGAAGGUAUAGGCGUGCCCCGUGGCUCUGCGAUGUUUAGAAAAGCGCUACAUGCUGUCGCAUUCCAAAGCAAGGAGAAGAUUGCCGCCAAAGUGGACUACUUGAAGAAUACAUUCAGGUGGUCUGAUGCCGAAGCGAGCAUUGCUGUGCGCAAGUAUCCGGGUCUGCUCAGGAAGUCAAAGGAAUCUCUGAAGCACAGGUCCGAGUUCUUGUUCUCUGAGGUGGGGCUGGAACCCGCGUACAUUGCUCAUCGACCGGAAAUACUUUCUUAUAGCAUGGAGGGCCGACUCAGACCUCGGUACUAUGUUAUCAAGUUUCUCAAGCAAAGUGGACUGCUAGAUCGUGACUUGAGCUUAUAUUCUGCGGUCAAGAUGACUGACAAGGUAUUUGUGGAGAAGCUCAUAUGCCCUCACAAGGAAGCCGCAGCACACCUCGCUGAAGAUUAUGCAGCAGCUUGCAAAGGGGAAGUGCCAACUAAUUUCAGAUUUACAUGA
rnacentral:rRNA from 1 species